rnacentral:rRNA from 1 species
UACGUAGGUGGCAAGCGUUGUCCGGAUUUACUGGGCGUAAAGCGCGUGUAGGCGGCUCGUUAAGUCUGUCGUGAAAUCUCCCGGCUUAACCGGGAUAGGUCGACGGAUGCUGGCGGGCUUGAGGGGAGCAGAGGAAGGUGGAAUUCCCGGUGUAGUGGUGAAAUGCGUAGAUAUCGGGAGGAACACCAGUGGCGAAGGCGGCCUUCUGGGCUCUACCUGACGCUGAGACGCGAAAGCGUGGGGAGCGAACCGG